rnacentral:rRNA from 1 species
GACGAACCGUGCGAACGUUGUUCGGAAUCACUGGGCUUAAAGGGCGCGUAGGCGGGUCGUCAAGUUUGGGGUGAAAUCCUCCGGCUCAACCGGAGAACUGCCUCGAAUACUGACGGUCUCGAGGGGGAUAGGGGCAUGCGGAACUACGGGUGGAGCGGUGAAAUGCGUUGAUAUCCGUAGGAACUCCGGUGGCGAAGGCGGCGUGCUGGAUCCCUUCUGACGCUGAGGCGCGAAAGCCAGGGGAGCAAACGGG